GAGCGGUAACAGGGAGAAUCUUGCUUCUCUUUGACCAGCGACGGACGGGUGAGUAAUGUAUGGGGAUCUGCCCGAUAGAGGGGGAUAACUACUGGAAACGGUAGCUAGUACCUCAUAAUCUCUCCCGAGCAAAGCAAGGGAACUUCCGUCCUUGCUCUAUCGAAUGAACCCAUAUGGGAUUAAUUAGUAAGUGAGGUAAGGGCUCACCUACGCGACCAUCCCUACCUGGUCUGAGAGGAUGAUCAACCACACUGGGACUGAGACACAGCCCAUACUCCUACGGGAGGCAGGAGUGGGGAAUAUUGCACAAUGGGCGCAAGCCUGAUGCAUCCAUGCCGCGUGUAUGAAGAAGGCCCUAGGGUUGUAAAUUACUUUCUUUCGGGAGGAAGGCGUUGAUGCUAAUAUCAUCAUCGAUUGACGUUACCGACACAAAAAACACCGGCUAACUCCGUGCCAGCAGCCGCGGUAAUACGGAGGGUGCGAGCGUUAAUCGGAAUUACUGGGCGUAAAGCGCACGCACGCGGUUGAUUAAAUUAGAUGUGAAAUCCCCGGGCUUAACCUGGGAAUGGCAUCUAAUACUGGUCAGCUAGAGUCUUGUAUAGGGGGGUAGAUUUCCAUGUGUAGCGGUGAAAUGCAUAGAUAUGUGGAGGAAUACCGGUGGCUAAGGCGGCCCCCUCGACAAACACUGACGCUCACGUGCGAAAGCGUGCGGGAGCAAACAGGAUUAAAUACCCUGGUAGUCCACGCUGUAAACAAUGUCUGAUCUUUAGGUUGUUUCCUACAAGGAGUGGCUUUCUGAGCGAACUCAUUCAAUCGACCGCCUGGGGGGGACGGCCGGAAGGGUAAGAACUCAAAUGAAUUGAAUUGGGGCCCG
rnacentral:rRNA from 1 species